CCUACGGGAGGCAGCAGUGAGGAAUAUUGGUCAAUGGACGAGAGUCUGAACCAGCCAAGUAGCGUGAAGGAUGACUGCCCUAUGGGUUGUAAACUCCUUUUAUAUGGGAAUAAAACGUUCCACGUGUGGGAUUUUGUAUGUACCAUAUGAAUAAGGAUCGGCUAACUCCGUGCCAGCAGCCGCGGUAAUACGGAGGAUCCGAGCGUUAUCCGGAUUUAUUGGGUUUAAAGGGAGCGUAGGUGGAUUGUUAAGUCAGUUGUGAAAGUUUGCGGCUCAACCGUAAAAGUGCAGUUGAAACUGGCAGUCUUGAGUACAGUAGAGGUGGGCGGAAUUCGUGGUGUAGCGGUGAAAUGCUUAGAUAUCACGAAGAACUCCGAUUGCGAAGGCAGUUCACUGGACUGCAACUGACACUGAGGCUCGAAAGUGUGGGUAUCAAACAGGAUUAGAUACCCCUGUAGUC
rnacentral:rRNA from 1 species